GACCUGAAUCAGGAACCAGAGUCUGGAACACUGUGUUGUGGUAUGCCCGCCGUAAGGUGGCAGCAGAAUCUGAAGCUUUUUCGCUGACAUGAAGUCCACGCCCCUUCGUGCUCUGCACGGAUCUGCCCAGUGGAGGGAGGAGUACCCCAAUGUAAGGAGUCUGCAUGAGGUGCAGCUGAGGUGGCUGGAACUUGGACAGUGAAGAAGGAGUGAUGCAAAAUAAGAUCUUCCUCCCCUCUGAAGCCCCAGGCUCCAUACCGUAUCCUUGGCUCAGAAUGUCAUAUAGAUACCAUUUUAUCUUACCCGGAUUCUCUCAUGUAUGUGGGAUUUUCAUAUGUGCAUAUGUAAUUAAAUGUGGUCGUAUUCUCUUGUGUUAAUCUGUUUCAUGUCUAUUUGAGUAUUAGACCAGCCAAAAGAACCUAGAAGGGCAGAGGAAAGUUUUCUUCAUCCCUCACAGUAAAAUAAGAUAUUUUGA